rnacentral:tRNA from 2 species
GGGCCUUUAGCUCAUUUGGUAGAGCGCCUGCUUUGCAAGCAGGAGGUAACCGGUUCGAAUCCGGUAAGGUCCA